AUGAAUGUGGGCUGUAUAUGGGGGCUGCUUGUGGAAUUGUGUGUGUGGAUGGAUAUGUCACAUUGUGUGUUUGGUAGUGUGUGUAUGUGUGGGGUCUGUGUGGGGUAAUGCAUGUGAGAGGCUGCAUGUGGGGUUGUGUGCAUGGUAUGUGGAUUGUUAGUGGUGUUGCGUUUGUGCAGAUUGUGUGUAUGUUUGUGUGUGGGCUGUUAUUAUUUGUAUGAGGGGAGGGUUACUCUGCAUUGCUGUGUAUAUCUAGGAGUGUGGGUGGCUUCCCAGGGUUCCAGUGGGGACCAUGCCGUCCAGGUACAGGUCAAGGACAGGAGCUGCAACAACAAUUAUUAGCAGAUAUCUGAAGUUUUACUGGGACUCCUGUUUGGCUCUAGCAGCCUUGAGUGCCGUGCAAUGGCACCUCGAGUGCUGUGCAUGGCACUAGUGCCGUAGGUUGCCUACACCUGCCCUAUGCUAUUCCUGUUCCUUUUGUAAAUGUUUACCAAAUAAAUAAUGUUAAAACGAAC